rnacentral:lncRNA from 1 species
AAUUAUUUGUGGGCGGACAAAACGGUCUCCCACCAGCCACCCUAUGUGAACUGGGCCGACAUUUGUUGCUUUCUCAACUGUUUACACACAUGCAUGUUGCAGUAAAUUAUUUGGAGGCGUGAGGAAAGGAUUCUAGGACCCCAUCGGAAUGUUUCUUUCAGCUAGAUGUAUUCUAAAAUGCAGAGUGUGGAUUACGAAAGUUUCGGUUGUUAAAAACUUGUAUAGGUCCAAAAACUGGUAGCUGUGUUGACAAAUUGUAGAUUGGGGCAUCUUUCCCUUUUGUCUCUCACUUAUACGUGGGCCAUAAUAUCUUUGUCCUCUCAUUAUACCUCUCUUUCUUCCCACCCACAAAGAAGGCGGCCAUGGUCGGGCAUCCGAGGCCUCUCCUGAUCUCCUUGCAGCCUUGAAGAGUCCAAGAGAAAGUGAUCGUCUAUUGUCU